GAUGAAGAACGUAGUGAAAUGCGAUAAUUAAUGUGAAUUGCAGAAUUCAGUGAAUCAUCGAGUCUUUGAACGCACAUUGCGCCCCCUGGUAUUCCGGGGGGCAUGCCUGUUCGAGCGUCAUUACAACCCUCAAGCUCUGCUUGGUAUUGGGCCCCGCCAGUUCUGGCGGGCCCUAAAGUCAGUGGCGGUGCCUUCCGGCUCCGAGCGUAGUAAUUCUUCUCGCUCUGGAGACCCGGUUGUGUGCUUGCCAACAACCCCCAAUUUUUUAAGGUUGACCUCGGAUCAGGUAGGGAUACCCGCUGAACUUAAGCAUAUCAAUAAGCGGAGGA
rnacentral:misc_RNA from 1 species